CUACGGGCGGCUGUAGUGGGGAAUAUUGCGCAAUGGGCGAAAGCCUGACGCAGCAACGCCGCGUGAGUGAUGAAGGCCUUCGGGUCGUAAAGCUCUGUCGGGAGGGAAGAACACCUUCGGGUCUGACGGUACCUCCCGAGGAAGCACAGGCUAACUCCGUGCCAGCAGCCGCGGUAAUACGGAGUGUGCAAGCGUUGUUCGGAAUUACUGGGCGUAAAGCGCGCGUAGGCGGCUUGAUAAGUCAGAUGUGAAAUCCCUCGGCUUAACCGAGGAACUGCAUUUGAAACUGUCAGGCUUGAGUACGGGAGGGGGAAGCGGAAUUCCCAGUGUAGAGGUGAAAUUCGUAGAUAUUGGGAGGAACACCAGCGGCGAAGGCGGCUUCCUGGACCGAUACUGACGCUGAGGCGCGAAAGCGUGGGGAGCAAACAGGAUUAGAUACCCCGGUAGUC
rnacentral:rRNA from 1 species